CACCGCGGUUAUACGAAUGGCUCAAAUUGAUAUUUCUCGGCGUAAAGCGUGGUUAGAGAAAAACUAAAUGACUAAAGAAGAACGGCUUCUCUGCUGUUGCAAGCAUUAGAUAGUCUGAAAAACAUUAACGAAAGUAACUUUAUAUUAUACUUGAACCCACGACCGUAAAGAAA
rnacentral:rRNA from 1 species